UAGGUUUAGGUUAUAGGUUUAGGUUUUGGUUUUAGGUUUAGGUUAAGGUUAUAAGUUUAGGUUAUAGGUUAUAGGUUAAGGUUUAGGUUAUAGGUUUUGGUUUAGGUUAAGGUUAUAGGUUUUGGUUUAGGUUAUAGGUUUAGGUUUAGAUUUAGGUUUAGGUUUAGGUUUUAGUUUAUAGGUUUAGGUUAUAGGUUUAG